GACGAACCGUGCGAACGUUAUUCGGAAUCACUGGGCUUAAAGCGCGUGUAGGCGGAUGGGAACGUCGGCCACUGAAAGCCCCCGGCUCAACCGGGGAAGCGGUGCCGGGACGGCCCGUCUGGAGGGGCGUAGGGGGACCUGGAACUUCCGGUGGAGCGGUGAAAUGCGUUGAGAUCGGAAGGAACGCCCGUGGCGAAAGCGAGGUCCUGGACGUCAUCUGACGCUGAGGCGCGAAAGCCAGGGGAGCAAACGGG
rnacentral:rRNA from 1 species